rnacentral:rRNA from 1 species
UACGUAGGAGGCGAGCGUUGUCCGGAAUUACUGGGCGUAAAGAGCGCGUAGGUGGCGCGAUACGACCGGUGUGAAAUCCUCCGGCUCAACUGGAGGGGGUCACUGGUAACGGUCGUGCUAUGAGUGCAGGAGAGGGACGUGGAACUCCGGGAGUAGCGGUGAAAUGCGUAGAGACCCGGAGGAACGCCAGUGGCGAAGGCGGCGUCCUGGCCUGCGACUGACGCUGUGGCGCGAAAGCUAGGGGAGCGAACGGG